GUGGGGAAUAUUGGACAAUGGGGGGAACCCUGAUCCAGUCAUGCCGCGUGUGUGAAGAAGGCCUUUUGGUUGUAAAGCACUUUAAGCGAGGAGGAGGCUACCGAGAUUAAUACUCUUGGAUAGUGGACGUUACUCGCAGAAUAAGCACCGGCUAACUCUGUGCCAGCAGCCGCGGUAAUACAGAGGGUGCAAGCGUUAAUCGGAUUUACUGGGCGUAAAGCGCGCGUAGGUGGCCAAUUAAGUCAAAUGUGAAAUCCCCGAGCUUAACUUGGGAAUUGCAUUCGAUACUGGUUGGCUAGAGUAUGGGAGAGGAUGGUAGAAUUCCAGGUGUAGCGGUGAAAUGCGUAGAGAUCUGGAGGAAUACCGAUGGCGAAGGCAGCCAUCUGGCCUAAUACUGACACUGAGGUGCGAAAGCAUGGGGAGCAAACAGGAUUAGAAACCCUAGUAGUCC
rnacentral:rRNA from 1 species